rnacentral:lncRNA from 10 species
AAGCUGUUCCUGAAUUAAAUCUUUCAACUACAAGGAUCUUGCCAGGCAUCACCAGGUUGUGGUAGGCAAAUAGGUAGGAAAUAGCUUAAGUUUGCUCUCUGUUCCCUGCUUUUCCCUCUCCUGGCCAAUACCUGAGAGAAAGGUGGGGCUGACACAUCCCAACGACAACUUGAAGAACAAGAUUAAUGUUUGCUAAUUCCCCAGACUCCCUCAGUUUUACAGAAAAUCAGUGGAGAAACUGCAAGUUUAAUCACAACGAAGACAUUUCAGGCUCUGUCACAGCGGAUGGAGGCAAUAUUUAAAGGACUGGAAACGUCCAUGGGGCCCCAAGUCAUAAUACUCACAGCACUGCCUACUUCAAUAGAAGUGGCUUUAUUAACUGCCAUCAGACAAAGUCAAGUCAAAUCUAUUAAAUGGCAUCAAAGUCAGGUCAAAUCUAUUAGGUAUAUUGCAUCUUACCAUUUAAAUGAUGGAUCAUGCUAUGGACUGAAUGGUCUCCUUCCAAAACUCACAUGUCAAAGCUCUGAUCCCCUGUGUGACUAUAUCUGGACACAGGGUCUUUAGCAGGUAGUUAAGUUCAAAUGAAGUCCUUAUGCAAAAUGAUGGUGGCCUUUUAAGAGGAGAGAGAUCCCUGUCUCCUCCAUGUGAGAACACAGGGACAAGGCAGCCAUCUGCAAGCCAGGGAAAGAAGCCUGACCAGGAACUUAACCAGUUGGCACCUUGAUCUUGGACUUCCAGCCUCCAGAGAAAUAUAUGUGUAUUGUUUCUGCCACAUGGUAUACGGUAUGUUUUU